rnacentral:rRNA from 1 species
CAGUAGCCACGGUAAUACGUAGGGCGCAAGCGUUAUCCGGAAUUAUUGGGCGUAAAGAGCUCGUAGGCGGUUUGUCGCGUCUGCCGUGAAAGUCCGGGGCUCAACCCCGGAUCUGCGGUGGGUACGGGCAGACUAGAGUGAUGUAGGGGAGACUGGAAUUCCUGGUGUAGCGGUGAAAUGCGCAGAUAUCAGGAGGAACACCGAUGGCGAAGGCAGGUCUCUGGGCAUUAACUGACGCUGAGGAGCGAAAGCAUGGGGAGCGAACAGGAUUAGAGACCCCAGUAGUCCCUGUCUCUUAUAA